CACACACAGCGCAUGCUCCUUCGUGCAUGAGUCCUGGCUAUUUGGAUGUUUUCGUCUUUUUAUUUUUGCGUUAGCUAAAUUUUAAUAACUGAAACAAGUGUCUUUGUCUAGCAAGAGUAGAGUGUCUUGGUGUGUUGUGCAGUAAUAUUUGGAGUUUUUGCGAAGACAAACAAACCGCACAAAUGCGGAAAAAAUAUUAGCGUGACUGUUUUGCUAGUUGUUAGCUAGCCAAAAAAAAACCAAACAAACACAGAGAAGCGCUGUUAUCUAACUUACUUACAUUGGAUUGGCUCUAUCAGUCUUUUCCGCAAAUAAAUAUUUUUAAGGCUGGCAAAAAAAAAAUUGCGUAACUUUAAAAAAAAAAAAAAUGUCCCACGCAAGGUAAGAUCCCAGCUGAGCACUGGGCCGCUGCAGUGUUUUUCUCUCGAACAAUAAUGUGAGUUCAGUCCCGUAAAAGCAGAGAAUGGACAGAGACCUGUUGAAGCAAUGUCUCACGUAUCACGGACAAUCACUGUUCAACACGCUGAAAUGUGAGCAAACGGAAAACCCAGACUUCCAGGCGGUGGUGUCUGACCUCUGCAAAGCCACGUAUGAGAGCAGGUCUGAAGAGAACAGCAAUGAACUGCUUGUGGAGCAGUUCAUUGCCAGGAAGGCUGACAUCCUGUUCAGUCCAGCAUGGAAGACUGCCGCUCUUCGAGGAGAGGACCACGAAGAAGAGGAGGCUGUAGAGCCCUAUGCAGUCAUGCCACCGAUGGAGUUAUUCAUGGAGGUGCCAUAUGAGGAGAGACGAUCCAUGAUCUACAGGGAUUUGGAAAGAGGAGACAUUGUGGUGGGGAGGAUCAACAAUAUUAGAGAAUAUGGCUUCUUCCUCACUCUGUUUUGCACGGCAGGAGGUCUGAAAAGAGACAUUGAGGACUUGGAGUUGUCGGCUCUGUGUCAUGUCAGAGAAAUUCCCUCCACUGGCAGCCAUGACGACCCUCUGUCCUACUACCAGAUUGGAGACUUCAUCAGAGCUGGAGUGAAAGAUAUUGAUCGCUACCAGGAAAAAAUCACAGUGUCCCUUUAUCAGGCCUGUCUUUCUCCCAGCUUGGAGCACAUCAAACUAGGUGUCAUUACCCGGGAGGAGCUCCCCAUACACUACAGUCGUAGCGUUCGUGCAGCCAGUGACUCCAGUGAGACAUACCAGCAUAUACUGACAGGUUGCCAUGGCUACCACAACCCGUCUGUAGUGGACUACUUGCUGGAGAAGGUCGGAAUUAGUGACACGCAGCCGCCGUCAAUGAUGCGGGGACUGCAGAGUAAACUUUUCCAAGAGGAGGAUUUUGCUUCUGCGAUCAGGAAGAAGCAGUCUGCAUCCUGGGCCUUAAAGUGUGUCCGUGCAGGGGUGGACCACUUCAAACACGGUCGCCAUGUGGAAGCCAUGAAUGAAUACAACAAAGCCUUGGAAAUAGACACGAAUAAUGUAGAAGCACUGGUGGCACGCGGAGCUCUGUAUGCUAACAAAGGCAGCAUCAUGAAGGCAAUAACAGACUUUGAACAGGCUCUUGAGAACUGUCCAGAUCACCGCAACGCCAGGAAGUAUCUGUGUCAGACACUAGUGGAGAGAGGAAAACAGCUUGAGGAACAGGAAAAGCUAGUAACAGCAGAGGGAUUGUACAGAAGAGCUCUAGCCCUAGAUGAUUCAAACCCUGAGGCGCAGGAAGCCCUGCACAAGAUCACAGACACAAUACAGGUGAGUGGACACAACACACACUCACACCUGAGGGUUUCGCAAAAGUUGCCAGGUAUGCGAUGUGUGUAUUUCAGGCUUAACUAUUACAGCACAUGUAGCAGUAAUGGGCAUAUCAAAGCUUAGUUUCAAAUGUGGGGUUAUUUAUGUGUGACUUCAGAAAAAUGAAUGAAACGGGUGGAAAAAGUGAGAGCCUGCUUGUUUUCAUAGCACAGAUUAGUUUCUCAUAAAACCAGCUAACAAGUUCCCCAAGUGGUAUUUAUGUAUGCUCUGUUUAUCUUAUUUGUUUUUAACUAAUAAGUGUGGGUCAAUAUGUUUUUGAGAUAAAUACUGUUAACAGAACAGUGCCUGUGGUUAAUAUUUUUCACUUGAACAGUGGGUGGUGCAGAAACAUGAAUCUGAAAGGGGACCGUGAUGAUUUUACUCUGUAGUUUAAUUGUAGUUCGUUUUAGCCUGGUACCGUAUUGUUUUGGGUUAAUUUUUACCGAUUAUCUUUGGUUACAGCAGUCAGAAUUUUCAGCAAAAAAAGGUCUGACAUUCAUUUUCUACGACCUAUCGAGCACCAGAAAACAGGCACACAAAGUUAGCAACUACCCGGUGAAUAGUGGGCACUAAACAGCUACAGAACCAGAUGUUUCUGUCAGCAGUCAGGAUUUUUCCCUGCUUAAAAGGAGCCUCUUGGGGUGACUACACACAUGACCACUAUUGCAUGUAGCUAAAGCAAAGAGUCUGUUAGUGAGGAAGAGAUUGGAGAAAUACCCUUGUCACAAGUGCUUCUCAGUUUCUCUACCAGACGGCACUCUGCAGCUUCCCUGUUGGCAUGUGCUUUGGGUGUAAAUGAGUAAUCCAUGACUUGUAACAGCAAAAGUUUAUUUUUAAACUGCAUUUUCAAAUGAUCUUAGUACGGACAUGUAAAUAACUACAUAUAAAAAAUGUCAGGGAAAUCUGUUUAUGUUUGUGUGACUGGGAAAAAAAAAAAACUGGCUGAUAUAUCAGAUUUUUAAGUCGCCAAAUAUCAGUAUCUGUCUGAAAAAUCCUAUAUUGGUCGAGUUCUGCUUUAUACUCCCAUCAAGAGGGCAAAAAUAUAUUAAAUUCAAAGUCUGAAGAAGUGUGAAUAUUACAACAUUAGCAGAAACUUUACAGGCCAGUUUAUAAUAGUAGGUUAAAAACAGGUGUUCCUAAUUAUAAUGAUGAAGGCUCUGUUAUAUGUAGGGUGAUGCCCUAAUAACUGUCAUUACCGGUGUCCUUAUGUUAGAAUGGCUGCUGUGAAAGGCUCUAUUGUUAAGAUAAGAUAAGAUAAGAUAAAACUUUAAUGAUCCCACGACGGGGAAAUUUGUGCAUUGGCAGAUUCUUAGUAGUGAUUCUUGCGUUCACGCUAAGGCCUGUUAAGCUUGACUAAACCUGUGGACAACUUUUACAUAUUUAACAGCUCAAUCAAUAAGGAGUGAAAGAGAAGAGCAGAGUGAGACAACAAACAGUAUAACAAUAAACACUGAAUGUCUGAGCUGCUGUCCAUGGUCCUGAAAGCUGUUUGAGCACAUUUCCAAAAUGCAUAUUCUUCAUGUAGGCAUGUCUACUAAAAACAAAUACACUAAAGCUUUUCUGCUUAAUCUAGUUAUUUCCCAGUACUGUGGUUUGUAAUACUGAUGAAGUGUUUUGGUGUGUAUGUGUGUGUCCGCAACCCUUGGACUCUGUCCCCUGACCCUCCGACUGCCACGGCCUUGCCACCUGCCUUGUGGGGGGAAAAAUAACCUGCACAAUGCCAACAAUGACUCUUCUUCUCCUGGACACUCGUGUCCUGGGUCCAAAUACGAAAUCGAUUCGCCUGCGAGAGGAAGCAUUGGCAAAGGAGCAGGUCACAACUACGAGCAGCCAGAGCAGCGCUGAGAAAUUACGUAAGAUCUUAAAAGAGGAGAAGAGGAUGAAGAAAAAACAGAAGAG